GUGCCAGCAACCCCGGUAGUGCGGAAGUUGCCAGCGUUAAUCGGAAUUACUGGGCGUAAAGCGCACGCAGGCGGGUUGUUAAGUCAGAUGUGAAAUCCCCGGGCCUAACCUGGGAACUGCAUUUGAAACUGGCAAGCUAGAGUCUCGUAGAGGGGGGUAGAAUUCCAGGUGUAGCGGUGAAAUGCGUAGAGAUCUGGAGGAAUACCGGUGGCGAAGGCGGCCCCCUGGACGAAGACUGACGCUCAGGUGCGAAAGCGUGGGGAGCAAACAGGAUUAGAUACCCUGGUAGUCC
rnacentral:rRNA from 1 species